rnacentral:rRNA from 1 species
CCUACGGGAGGCAGCAGUGGGGAAUUUUGGACAAUGGGCGCAAGCCUGAUCCAGCAAUGCCGCGUGCAGGAUGAAGGCCUUCGGGUUGUAAACUGCUUUUGUACGGAACGAAACGGCGAGCUCUAAUAAAGUUUGCUAAUGACGGUACCGUAAGAAUAAGCACCGGCUAACUACGUGCCAGCAGCCGCGGUAAUACGUAGGGUGCGAGCGUUAAUCGGAAUUACUGGGCGUAAAGCGUGCGCAGGCGGUUAUAUAAGACAGAUGUGAAAUCCCCGGGCUCAACCUGGGACCUGCAUUUGUGACUGUAUAGCUAGAGUACGGUAGAGGGGGAUGGAAUUCCGCGUGUAGCAGUGAAAUGCGUAGAUAUGCGGAGGAACACCGAUGGCGAAGGCAAUCCCCUGGACCUGUACUGACGCUCAUGCACGAAAGCGUGGGGAGCAAACAGGAUUAGAUACCCUGGUAGUCCACGCCCUAAACGAUGUCAACUGGUUGUUGGGUCUUCACUGACUCAGUAACGAAGCUAACGCGUGAAGUUGACCGCCUGGGGAGUACGGCCGCAAGGUUGAAACUCAAAUGAAAUUGACGG